AUUGAACGCUGGCGGCAUGCCUAACACAUGCAAGUCGAACGGGGCAGCAAUGCCUAGUGGCGGACGGGUGAGGAACACGUAGGAAUCUGCCCUUAAGUGGGGGAUAACCAGGGGAAACCCUGACUAAUACCGCAUGAUCUCUUCGGAGCAAAGAGGGGGACCGCAAGGCCUCUCGCUUCUGGAUGAGCCUACGUCUGAUUAGCUAGUUGGUAGGGUAAAGGCCUACCAAGGCGACGAUCAGUAACUGGUCUGAGAGGAUGAUCAGUCACACCGGAACUGAGACACGGUCCGGACUCCUACGGGAGGCAGCAGUGGGGAAUAUUGGACAAUGGGCGCAAGCCUGGACCAGCAAUGCCGCGUGUGUUAAGAAGGCCUUCGGGUUGUAAAGCACUUUAGCCUGGAAAGAAAAAACUUUGGUUAACACCCAAAGUCUUGACGGUACCAGGAGAAUAAGCACCGGCUAACUCUGUGCCAGCAGCCGCAGUAACAC
rnacentral:rRNA from 1 species